rnacentral:rRNA from 1 species
AGCAGUCGCCGCGGGAAUACGUAUGUCACAAGCGUUAUCCGGAUUUAUUGGGCGUAAAGCGCGUCUAGGUGGUUAUGUAAGUCUGAUGUGAAAAUGCAGGGCUCAACUCUGUAUUGCGUUGGAAACUGUGUAACUAGAGUACUGGAGAGGUAAGCGGAACUACAAGUGUAGAGGUGAAAUUCGUAGAUAUUUGUAGGAAUGCCGAUGGGGAAGCCAGCUUACUGGACAGAUACUGACGCUAAAGCGCGAAAGCGUGGGUAGCAAACAGGAUUAGAUACCCGAGUAGUCCCUGUCUCUUAUACA